UGGGGAGGAAGAGACGAAGAUUAUGGAUAGUAUAUCUAGCAAUUGGGAUUAUGGAUGCGCUCAUCAGUAAGACUCAACUCGGGCCUGAUUAAGAGUGCUCCACGAUGUGGGACCAAAAAACUCGAGGCAAGAGCUUGGGGAUGACUUCUAAGGAUUUCGGUUCGAUUGUGCCAGUUGGUCUUCUGGACAAAGCCCGCGAAGGGCGAAAAGCAAAGAAGGGUAAAAAAAGGGAUGGAAACACAUCGUUCACAUGUCCAAAAUUCUAUCCUACUACGCUUCACCCUCUCCUCCUUCAACAAGACCGUACGCCACCAUGAUUCUCCACGCCCUUCACUCCUCUCAGAUCAGUUCCAGUUUUUCCCAUCUCAACAACAUAAGAUGAUCAGCACCAGAUGGCAGUGACUCGGCUGGAUCGCUGUGCGGUCACCUCCUUCCUUACCAGGUGUUGAUCCGAAGCCCAUGAAGGAGCUCUGCAAGUCAUCCAGUUUCAAGUCCAUGAACCACUCAU